GGUAGGAGGGGCAUAUCUGAGUGUCCUCCUGUUACUUAAAACUCUUUGAUAGCUUUUAUUUUGAUUUUUAAAAAAUAGUCGUUUUUUGAGACAAAGAGUAUCAAAUCAGUGUUGGACAGGCCACCCAAUUUGGGGGAGAGGGGCUAGAAGCCCUGGGCACUAGGAGAAGGGAGUGAUUGCUGGUGUAGAGAUUGACUGUAUAGAAUGUUUCUCAGGAGAGAGCAUGGUGGAUUUUGAAGGUAAAACUUUCUGGGUUUAUCAUGUUUUAAUUUGAGGGGACAGGGAAUGAUGAAUCAUCACCAGUUGCCCCCUUAUUUAACCCUGUGGAAGCAGGCGUCUCAAAGGAACACCUUCUAUCCAAGGAGCUUGAGCUGACUUGAUAGAUUAUAGACAGGCCUGUAUUAGUGCCUGCCCAUCCCCACCCUCAGGCACCAGCCAUCAUUGUUCCGUUGGGGUGUGGCCAGGUUUUUCUUAUAACAGUCAGUCUCCCCUCUUACCUUGGCUUACUAUUCUGGGGGGUAGGGAGAGGUAUCAGUGAUAUUGGAGAUGACUAGUUGCUGUGUUAUGGGUUUGAGUUUUAUUUGGCUAUAAAACAAUCUUGUUGGAAGAAGUAUGUGGGGAGUAGGGGAAAGGGAGAAGGGCCUCUUCCCACACACAAAACAUCCCGGUUAGUCUCUGGUCUUGUUUGUAGGGAUGCUGUUGGUCAAAUGCCUUCAGAUUGUACCAACUCAGCUAGCAUUGCUAACCAACUCUUGCAGGCUCUGAAAAUAAAAAUAAUCUUGAACCUGU